UUGAUUGUGCUACAUGAAUUACCUUUCACUUUUGUUGAAUAUCCUGGCUUUAGGUCUUUUGUUAAGACAUUGAAUCCAUGGUUCAGCGUGGUAUGUAGAGAAACAAUUAAAGAAGAUUGCAUUGAUGCAUAUGAUAAACACAAAAAAGAAAUUCAAGCACUUUUUAGCAAUGUAAGUUCUCGAGUAUCAUUAACGGGUGACAUGUGGACAUCUAAUCAGAAGCUGGGUUAUUUAUGCAUAACUGCCCACUUUAUUGAUGGCUCAUGGACUCUAAAAAAACAGAAUAAUCACAUUUUGCCUCUUGGAAACUCCACACAACGCUCAUAA
rnacentral:rRNA from 1 species